CCUGUCCUUAUUAUCAGUUGUCUCUCAACUUACACAUGCAAGUCUCAGCACCCCCGUGAGGAAGCCCUUUACCCCUACACCAGAAUAAGGAGCAGGUAUCAGGCACAAUCUUUUGCCCACGACACCUAGUUUAACCACGCCCCCAAGGGUAGUCAGCAGUGAUAAACAUUGUCUAUAAGCGACAGCUUGACUCAGUCAGAGAGAAGAAAGUUGGCCAACUCGGUGCCAGCCGCCGCGGUUAGACCUAAGAACUUGAAUUGAUAUCAGUCGGCGUUAAGCGUGGUUAAAGAUCUUGAAUAGUUAGAGUUAAACCUCUGCCUAGCUGUAAAAAAGCGCGCAUGACGGAAAGCCACAAACGAAAGUUACUCUAAUACACUACUUGAACCCACGACAGCUAGGAGAACAAACUGGGAUUAGAUACCCCACUAUGCCUAGCCGUAAAUAUUAACUCACAUCUACCAGCGCCAGGGAACUACGGGCCUAGCCUAAAACCCAAAGGACUUGACGGUGUCCCACCCGAUUAGAGGAGCCUGUUCUAUAAUCGAUAAUCCCCGCUCUACCCAACCUUUUUUUGCUUUUUCAGCCUGUAUACCUCCGUCGUAAACUCACCAUAUGAAUGUCUUAUAGUGCUGUUAAAUGUUUCACCAAUCAAAACGUCAGGUCAAGGUGCAGCCUAUAAAAAGGUAGUAAUGGGCUACAAUCUUCAAUUUUAAGCAAACAGAAUACUGUCUGAAACCCAGCUAUGAAGGUGGAUUUAAUAGUAAAGAGAAACUAGUGUAUUCUCUUGAAUACGGCCCUGGGAUACGUACACACCGCCCGUCGCCCUCUUCGAAAA
rnacentral:ncRNA from 1 species